rnacentral:rRNA from 1 species
UACGAAGGGGGCUAGCGUUGUUCGGAUUUACUGGGCGUAAAGCGCGCGUAGGCGGAUCACUAAGUCAGGGGUGAAAUCCCGAGGCUUAACCUCGGAACUGCCUUUGAUACUGAUGAUCUGGAGAUCGGGAGAGGUUGGUGGAAUUCCGAGUGUAGAGGUGAAAUUCGUAGAUAUUCGGAAGAACACCAGUGGCGAAGGCGACUCACUGGACACAUAUUGACGCUGAGGUGCGAAAGCGUGGGGAGCAAACAGG